GAUGUGAACGAAUGCCAAUUUUUUGUCAGAAGCUAUUUUAAUGAAGAUACACAGUUAAAAAAUAUUUGUAACCUGUGAGCUGGAGAACCUCUAUUCUCCCUCCCGUUGAAGUGUCUAUGCUGAGACUCAGCUGAGGUGUAUCUACCCCGGCUCCCAGAAAAUCCCUCCCUGCACUUUAACCCGACUGGAAACUCCAAAGCGGUCUCCCUGACAUCUCUACACCUUACUGAAUCAAAACAGGAGAUGCCAACACUAUUCCGCAGCCUCAAGAAACAGAAGAUGGUGUGCAUAGAGAUAAUCCCAAUGUAUGCAUGAACCUAGGGAAAUUGGCUGACUAAUCGUCCACAAACCAUCUUUAUAAGUCAAUUAGUCAUUUUAGUCCUAACCGCAGCCACGAGUAUGCAGAUUUUACACAAUCGAAUAGGAUUUGAGAACAGUUCUCCUUAUUGAACAUGACGUGGCCAAAUGAUCGACUUCGCUUCAUAGAUUUGGUGGUGAAGGGGGAAGAUUUAAGUUACGAUCUGAACACCCACUGAGUAGCUAACAGUUUGCAUUACCUGUACUCAGCCAGCAAAUUGUAAAUCUGUCAAUACGUUUCCUCUUUUUGGUACAUUAUGUAAUGUCAGCAUUUUCUAGUGAUUUCAUCCUUUAGAUGGCAAUAGGCCCUUGUAGGAGUUAAAAUCCGUAUCACCUCUCCCAUCAGGAAUGUGAAAAGUAUAAAGAGAAGCUCAAUGGCUCUUGCACUGGGACCAUAUAAGGAAUUAGAGUUUCUCCUGUUAUUCAAAGAAAUUGUCUACAUCAGUGAUCAGCACCGUAGUCUUGCUUCCCGUACAAUAUUAUUCAAGCAAUUUCCUAUUCCCAACAGUUGUGA